AAGCAGCUAAAUUUGUGCAUCGAUGGUGCAAUACUAAGACUGAGCAUUCUGCAAGUUCUAUGCCAUUUCUGCCACAUGGACAGUAUGAAAAAAAGGGGCACAAAAGCCCACUAAAGAUAAAGUGAUGUUGUAUGUAACUUGUUCAAUGUUCUCUUAACAUGUUUUGUAAUAAAAGAAAAAAAAGUUCUAAUAUCACAUCAGUGUACGAGAUCUGUUCUUUGGCUUUGUUUUCCUGCACUCAGGGUGGUCAGAGCAUCUCACAGGGAUGGGAUAUUGGAGUUGGUGUGCAAGUGUCUGAUUCAGCAGCAGUAUCCAAGAGCAGAUUCCUGCUGGGCUCCUUCAAAACUGAGGCCAUCAGGAAGAAGAUGCAUCAUCUGCCAACAUUCAAGCCCCAGCUCUGUACAAGGAGAUGCACUUACUUAAAGUAGAAGCCUGCUGGGGGCAGCUCCGAGGCCGGCUCGUUGGCCACUGACCACAUCACAACUGAGGGCCUGUUCUUAUCCCUGCGGAUCAGCUCCUCCAUCACAGCCAGGUGGUGAUUCAAGGACUUAUUCCCAAAGCUCUCGCUGGAAGACAAGAGAAGGGCCUGCCGUUGAUGAGGAACUGGGUGCUGGUGACGUGGACGGUGCGGAUGCCGACCGGGAGCGUGUACACGUCCUCCAGCAACGCCCCGCGCACCUGCGCCUGCAUUUUCACCUGGAUGGCCAAGGAGGAAGGGUAGGAGCCAGGUCUGACUAAACAGAAAAUAGAAAUCCAAGCUGGGGAGGUUAAAGGAUGAUGAAUGAGCCCCUGGAUGACCCUUGUGGGGCUUGCUCACCCCAAGAGCUGCAGUGUCUUUUCCCCAUCCUUGUCUGGCCCAUUUCAUCCCCUCCCAGGCAACACAGUAGGACUCCUUCUCUGCCCUGCAUCAGGCGGUGACUGACAUGUCACCUGCUCACAAGAGAUACAAACUUGAUACUCUGGAGACUCACAGCAGCUCAUCUGUACUGAUUUUUGCACCAAAACAUCACUACUGAUCCUUAACUCACAGAGAGUCCUCCAAGGCUCCAGCUAUUAAAGCUGAACUCUUGUCUUGCGGAGUGGGAAGAAAGCUGAGUGCAUGGCAAAGCCUGUGGAAGAGGUUGGCAGCUGCUCCUCAGAGACUCUGCUCUCAACUUGCAGGGCACCUCCUCCCCUGUGUGAUCUCAAAUGGGAUGGACUGGGCCCUAAAUGUGAAGGGGAAGCACCUCAGAGCACACAUGUUCACUCCAGCCGUGUCCUUCUCACUGCCAGACCUUUCAGUUCAGCACCCAGGGAGCUGCCAAGGCUUGAUUUGAUUACUGCCUCAUUAGCAAUGCCACACUGGUCACAUGAACAGGACCCGUGAGAGAAGAGGAGAUGGGCCAUAUGGCAGAUCCUUAACCAAAUUAAACAGAGAGAACACACAGAAAGGAAGAAAUGCCACUUUACCU